rnacentral:rRNA from 1 species
UACGUAGGGGGCAAGUGUUAUCCGGAUUUACUGGGUGUAAAGGGAGCGUAGACGGCACGGCAAGCCAGAUGUGAAAGCCCGGGGCUCAACCCCGGGACUGCAUUUGGAACUGCUGAGCUAGAGUGUCGGAGAGGCAAGUGGAAUUCCUAGUGUAGCGGUGAAAUGCGUAGAUAUUAGGAGGAACACCAGUGGCGAAGGCGGCUUGCUGGACGAUGACUGACGUUGAGGCUCGAAAGCGUGGGGAGCAAACAGG